rnacentral:misc_RNA from 1 species
UCCCCGUUGCCGAGGCAGUCUGAUUAGAAAAAUCCAACUAAUCAUAAGGGUUGCGCUCGUUAAUGGACUUAACCAAACAUCUCACGACACGAGCUGACGACGGCCAUGCAACACCUGUCACUUGGCUCCAAAAGGCACUUUCUGGUUUCCCAAAAAUUCCAAGGAUGUCAAGUCCUGGUAAGGUUCUUCGCUUAACAUCGAAUUAAAGAACACGCUCCACCACUUGUGCGGGUCCCCGUCAAUUCCUUUGAGUUUUAAUCUUGCGACCGUACUCCCCAGGCGGGAUGCUUAACGCGUUAGCUUCGCUACUAGAAGGGUCGAUACUCCUAACAGCUAGCAUCCAUCGUUUACGGCGUGGACUA